rnacentral:rRNA from 1 species
AGGCACUACGGUGCUGAAGUAACAAAUGCCCUGCUUCCAGGAAAAGCCUCUAAGCAUCAGGUAACAUCAAAUCGUACCCCAAACCGACACAGGUGGUCAGGUAGAGAAUACCAAGGCGCUUGAGAGAACUCGGGUGAAGGAACUAGGCAAAAUGGUGCCGUAACUUCGGGAGAAGGCACGCUGACACGUAGGUGAAGUGAUUUACUCAUGGAGCUGAAGUCAGUCGAAGAUACCAGCUGGCUGCAACUGUUUAUUAAAAACACAGCACUGUGCAAACACGAAAGUGGACGUAUACGGUGUGACGCCUGCCCGGUGCCGGAAGGUUAAUUGAUGGGGUCAGCGC